rnacentral:misc_RNA from 1 species
AAGUCGUAACAAGGUUUCCGUAGGUGAACCUGCGGAAGGAUCAUUUCCAUAACCAAGGGGAAACACUUCCUUUUGAAAACUGUGAACUGUUAUAUGCUAUAACUUAAAGCAAGCUACCCACGUAAUAUGCGCUAAUUCCGAAAGGAAGCAUUAGCAAAAAAGGAUACAACUUUUAACAAUGGAUCUCUUGGCUCUU